UUUUCUAUCUUUCUCUUUAACACCAAAAGACCCAAAACCUAAAAAUUUUCUCCCUCUCUUCUCCUCCCCCCUCUCUCUGCCUCCAUCUUCUCUCUCCCUUUCCCGGCAGCCGCCUCCCCCUCCCGUCGCUCCUAUCUCUCCCCAGCGACCCCCCUCCUUCUCUCCUCUUCUUCCCCUCUUUCUCCCUCCAUUCUUAUCUUCCAUCCGCCCUUUACUCUUCUUUCGCUCUUCCCUCUCUCUUGAGCAGCCGUCGCUCCUCCUCCCUUCGCUCUCCCCGGUGACCCCCUCCUUCUCUCCUCUUCUCCCUCUCGUUUUGCUCUUCUCUCCCUUUCCCUCUUCUUCCCCUCUUUAUCCCUCCGUUCUUCUCCUCUCUCUGCCUCCCUCUUCUCUUCUCCCCCUCUUUCCCUCCUCUCUCCCCUCCCGUCUCUUCUCUUCCCCUUCCUCUUCUCCUUUCUCUUUUUUCUCAGGUGCCAGCAAUUGUAGCAGUGAUACAGCAGCAGCCUACGAGAGAAACAGAAACACCACCAGCAAAAAAACAAUGAGCUCCGACGGAGCCUCCUCUAUGAGAUUUCGAAGUUAUUUAAAACUGAUUUGUUACAGUUCCGUCCAGGUUUUGAAAUUGAAGGUUCAAGAUGUUGAAGAAUUGCUUAGAAGAAAUUUCCAGACAAGUUUAUUAUUGAAGUUUAUGUUAAUAUUGUAUUUAUUUCUUAGACUUGUAAUGUUUUGUAUUACGCUAACUCUAAAACACUCUCAUAAAUAAAAUAUUUGAGGGAUCACCUAAGGGGAAGGGAAUUUACAUGCUACGUGUUA